AGAGUUUGAUCCUGGCUCAGGAUGAACGCUAGCGGCAGGCUUAACACAUGCAAGUCGAGGAGUAGAGGUUGCUUGCAACCUUGAGACCGGCGCACGGGUGCGUAACGCGUAUGCAACCUACCUUUUACAGAGGGAUAGCCCAGAGAGAUUUGGAUUAAUACCUCAUAGUAUAUAUCUUUCGCAUGUUAGGUAUAUUAAAGUUCCAACGGUAAAAGAUGGGCAUGCGUCCUAUUAGCUAGAUGGUAAGGUAACGGCUUACCAUGGCUACGAUAGGUAGGGGUCCUGAGAGGGAGAUCCCCCACACUGGUACUGAGACACGGACCAGACUCCUACGGGAGGCAGCAGUGAGGAAUAUUGGACAAUGGGCGCAAGCCUGAUCCAGCCAUGCCGCGUGCAGGAAGAAGCAUCUAUGGUGUGUAAACUGCUUUUGUACAGGAAGAAACAUCCCGACGUGUCGGGACUUGACGGUACUGUAAGAAUAAGGAUCGGCUAACUCCGUGCCAGCAGCCGCGGUAAUACGGAGGAUCCAAGCGUUAUCCGGAAUCAUUGGGUUUAAAGGGUCCGUAGGCGGUUUGGUAAGUCAGUGGUGAAAGCCCGCAGCUCAACUGUGGAACGGCCAUUGAUACUGCCAGACUUGAAUUACAAGGAAGUAACUAGAAUAUGUAGUGUAGCGGUGAAAUGCUUAGAUAUUACAUGGAAUACCAAUUGCGAAGGCAGGUUACUACUUGUGGAUUGACGCUGAUGGACGAAAGCGUGGGGAGCGAACAGGAUUAGAUACCCUGGUAGUCCAA
rnacentral:rRNA from 1 species